rnacentral:rRNA from 1 species
UACGUAGGCAGCGAGCGUUGUUCGGAGUUACUGGGCGUAAAGGGUGUGUAGGCGGUUGUUUAAGUUUGGUGUGAAAUCUCCCGGCUCAACUGGGAGGGUGCGCCGAAUACUGAAUGACUUCGAGUGCGGGAGAGGAAAGUGGAAUUCCUGGUGUAGCGGUGAAAUGCGUAGAUAUCAGGAGGAACACCGGUGGUGUAGACGGCUUUCUGGGACGGUACUGACGCUGAGACGCGAAAGCGUGGGGAGCGAACAGG